rnacentral:rRNA from 1 species
GACGAACGCUGGCGGCGUGCUUAACACAUGCAAGUCGAACGGUGAAGGGACCGGUUUUUGCUGGUUCUGGAUGAGUGGCGAACGGGUGAGUAACACGUGAGUAACCUGCCCCCUUCUUCUGGAUAACCGCAUGAAAGUGUGGCUAAUACGGGAUAUUCUGCGCCUGCUGCAUGGUGGGUGUGGGAAAGAUAUUGUUUCGGUGGGGGAUGGGCUCGCGGCCUAUCAGCUUGUUGGUGGGGUGAUGGCCUACCAAGGCGGUGACGGGUAGCCGGCCUGAGAGGGUGGACGGUCACACUGGGAAUGAGACACGGCCCAGACUCAUACGGGAGGCAGCAGUGGGGAAUAUUGCACAAUGGGCGCAGGCCUGAUGCAGCGACGCCGCGUGAGGGAUGGAGGCCUUCGGGUUGUAAACCUCUUUCGCCAGUGAAGCAGGCCUGUCCCUUUUGUGGGUGGGUUGACGGUAGCUGGAUAAGAAGCGCCGGCUAACUACGUG